GUCUACAGCCAUGCCACCCUGAACGUGCCUGAUCUUGUCUGAUCUCGGAAGCUAAGCAGGGUCGGCCCUGGUUAGUACUUGGAUGGGAGACCACCUAGGAAUACUAGAUGCUAUAGGCG
rfam:Pteropus alecto contig76465, whole genome shotgun sequence.